rnacentral:rRNA from 1 species
AUUGAACGCUGGCGGCAGGCCUAACACAUGCAAGUCGAGCGGAUAAAGGAAGCUGCUUCCUUCUUUCAGCGGCGGACGGGGGCGGAAUGCCAAUGAAUGGGCAUCUGAGUGGGGGAUGAGGUUAGCUAAUGGGAACUGAUACUACUACCGCAUAGAGGCGGAAAACGGAGGAGCGUCGGAUCUCACGCUCUUGGCCGAGCCUAGGUCGGAUUAGCUAGUUGGUGGGGUAAAGGCCUAGCAAGCACACGACCCGUAACUCGUCUGAGUGGAUGAGCAGUCACACUGGGACUGAGACACGGUCCCAACUCCUAAGGGAGGCCACAGUGGGGAAUAUUGGACAAUGGGCGAAAGCCUGAUGCAGCCAUGCCGCGUGUGUGAAGAAGGCCUUCGGGUUGUAAAGCACUUUCAGUUGGGAGGAAGGGAGGUAAGUUAAUACCUUGCUGUUUUGACGUUACCAACAGAAUAAGCACCGGCUAACUUCGUG